GAUGCAGCGACGCCGCGUGGGGGAUGAAGGCCUUCGGGUUGUAAACUCCUUUCGACAGGGACGAAGCUUUUGUGACGGUACCUGUAUAAGAAGCACCGGCUAACUACGUGCCAGCAGCCGCGGUAAUACGUAGGGUGCGAGCGUUGUCCGGAAUUACUGGGCGUAAAGAGCUCGUAGGUGGUUUGUCGCGUCGUCUGUGAAAUUCCGGGGCUUAACUCCGGGCGUGCAGGCGAUACGGGCUGACUUGAGUGCUGUAGGGGAGACUGGAAUUCCUGGUGUAGCGGUGAAAUGCGCAGAUAUCAGGAGGAACACCGAUGGCGNGNGCAGGUCUCUGGGCAGUAACUGACGCUGAGGAGCGAAAGCAUGGGUAGCGAACAGGAUUACAUACCCUGGUAGUCCAUGCCGUAAACGGUGGGCGCUAGGUGUAGGGGGCUUCCACGUCUUCUGUGCCGUAGCUAACGCAUUAAGCGCCCCGCCUGGGGAGUACGGCCGCAAGGCUA
rnacentral:rRNA from 1 species